CCUACGGGAGGCAGCAGUGGGGAAUAUUGCACAAUGGGGGAAACCCUGAUGCAGCGACGCCGCGUGUGUGAAGAAGUAUCUCGGUACGUAAAGCUCUAUCAGCAGGGAAGAAAAUGACGGUACCUGACUAAGCAGCACCGGCUAACUACGUGCCAGCAGCCGCGGUAAUACGUAGGGGGCAAGCGUUAUCCGGAUCUACGGGGUGUAACGGGAGCGUAGACGGCAGCACAAGUCUGGAGUGAAAUCCCGGGGCUUAACCCCGGAACUGCUUUGGAAACUGUGCGGCUGGAGUGCAGGAGAGGUAAGUGGAAUUCCUGGUGUAGCGGUGAAAGGCGUAGAGAUUAGGAGGAACACCGGGGGCGAAGGCGGCCUACUGGACUGUAACUGACGUUGAGGCGCGAAAGCGUGGGGAGCAAACAGGAUUAGAUACCCUGGUAGUC
rnacentral:rRNA from 1 species